rnacentral:rRNA from 1 species
ACGCUGCGGCGUGCCUAANACAUGCAAGUCGAACGAAGUUCUAUGGAAUGCGGCUUCGGCCAAAUGAAGUUUGAACUUAGUGGCGAACGGGUGAGUAAUACGUAAGCAACCUGCCUAUGGGACUGGGAUAACGUUUGGAAACGGACGCUAAUACCGGAUAGGUAGAGAGGAGGCAUCUCUUCUCUAUUAAAGUUUAGAUACACCGAUAGAUGGGCUUACGGCGCAUUAGCUAGUUGGUGAGGUAACGGCUCACCAAGGCGAUGAUGCGUAGCCGGACUGAGAGGUUGAACGGCCACAUUGGGACUGAGACACGGCCCAAACUCCUACGGGAGGCAGCAGUGGGGAAUAUUGCACAAUGGGGGAAACCCUGAUGCAGCGACGCCGCGUGAGUGAAGAAGUAUUUCGGUAUGUAAAGCUCUAUCAGCAGGGAAGAAAAUGACGGUACCUGACUAAGAAGCACCGGCUAAAUACGUG